rnacentral:ncRNA from 1 species
AAUAGAAAAAGUCGAACCAUUUGAGAAGAUGGGGCGGAAAGCCUCAGGUCUUUUUAUAAAGAUAGCUGGGUUACCUAU